rnacentral:rRNA from 1 species
GAUUAUGGCUCAGGAUGAACGCUAGCUACAGGCUUAACACAUGCAAGUCGAGGGGCAGCAUAACGAAAGCUUGCUUUGUUGAUGGCGACCGGCGCACGGGUGAGUAACGCGUAUCCAACCUUCCCUAUACUAGAGGAUAGCCCGGCGAAAGUCGGAUUAAUACUCUAUGUUCUUCGUAGAAGACAUCUGAAAUGAAGCAAAGGUUUACCGGUAUAGGAUGGGGAUGCGUCUGAUUAGGUUGUUGGCGGGUAACGGCCCACCAAGCCCACGAUCAGUAGGGGUUCUGAGAGGAAGGUCCCCCACAUUGGAACUGAGACACGGUCCAAACUCCUACGGGAGGCAGCAGUGAGGAAUAUUGGUCAAUGGACGAGAGUCUGAACCAGCCAAGUAGCGUGCAGGAUGACGGCCCUAUGGGUUGUAAACUGCUUUUAUACAGGGAUAAAGUGACGUACGUGUACGUUUUUGUAGGUACUGUAUGAAUAAGGACCGGCUAAUUCCGUGCCAGCAGCAGC